UUCAGAGAAUUAAACAAGCAAAUAAAAAUUUUACGAUCUCAUGUUUCCUUCAAAGCGCAGUUAACUCAAACGAAUUUUGUUCAAAAUUAAAUUUUGAUGCAUAAACGCUCUUAGACUGUCUUUGCACCUAAUGGCGUUUUCUUUUCUACCGAAAUAUGCUGCCUUCUCAGUGCCCUCUACGCACAAAUACUAAUGAGAGGGCAUUGAAAAGG